UAAUACGGAGGGUGCAAGCGUUGUUCGGAAUUAUUGGGCGUAAAGCGCGUGUAGGUGGCUAGGAAAGUUGGGUGUGAAAGCCCGGGGCCCAACCCCGGAAUUGCACUCAAAACUUCUUGGCUAGAGUCUCGGAGAGGAAAGCGGAAUUCCCGGUGUAGAGGUGAAAUUCGUAGAUAUCGGGAGGAACACCAGUGGCGAAGGCGGCUUUCUGGACGAUGACUGACACUGAGACGCGAAAGCGUGGGGAGCAAACAGGAUUAGAUACCCUGGUAGUCCACGCCGUAAACGUUGUGUGCUAGGUGUCGCGGGUAUUGACCCCUGCGGUGCCGUCGUUAACGCAUUUAGCACACCGCCUGGGGAGUACGGCCGCAAGGCUA
rnacentral:rRNA from 1 species